UGGAUCCAGACUUUGAUCAUGGCUCAGGAUGAACGCUAGCUACAGGCUUAACACAUGCAAGUCGCGGGGCAGCAUGUUUUUACCCUCGGGUAAGAAUGAUGGCGACCGGCGCACGGGUGAGUAACGCGUAUCCAACCUGCCCUUCACUACGGGAUAGCCUGUCGAAAGGCAGAUUAAUACCGUAUGAUAUCCGAAGACGGCAUCCGAAUCGGAUUAAAGGUGAUAUUGGUGAAGGAUGGGGAUGCGUCCGAUUAGCUUGUUGGCGGGGUAACGGCCCACCAAGGCAUCGAUCGGUAGGGAUUCUGAGAGGAAGGUCCCCCACAUUGGAACUGAGACACGGUCCAAACUCCUACGGGAGGCAGCAGUGAGGAAUAUUGGUCAAUGGUCGAGAGACUGAACCAGCCAAGUAGCGUGCAGGAAGACGGCCCUAUGGGUUGUAAACUGCUUUUAUGCGGGGAUAAAGCGGGGAACGUGUUCCCCUUUGCAGGUACCGCAUGAAUAAGGACCGGCUAAUUCCGUGCCAGCAGCCGCGGUAAUACGGAAGGUCCGGGCGUUAUCCGGAUUUAUUGGGUUUAAAGGGAGCGCAGGCCGCCUUUUAAGCGUGUUGUGAAAUGUCCCGGCUCAACCGGGUCACUGCAGCGCGAACUGGAAGGCUUGAGUACGCUGUAGGUAGGCGGAAUUCGUGGUGUAGCGGUGAAAUGCUUAGAUAUCACGAAGAACUCCGAUUGCGAAGGCAGCCUACCAUCGCGUGACUGACGCUGAGGCUCGAAAGUGCGGGUAUCGAACAGGGUUAGAUACCCUGGUAGUCCGCACGGUAAACGAUGGAUGCCCGCCGUUGGGUUUUUUGGUUCAGCGGCCAAGCGAAAGCGUUAAGCAUCCCACCUGGGGAGUACGCCGGCAACGGUGCAACUCAAAUGAAUUGACGGA
rnacentral:rRNA from 1 species